UUUCCGCAGGUGAACCUGCGGAAGGAUCAUUCAUAAUAAAGUGUUUUAUGGCACUUUUUAAAAAUCCAUAUCCACCUUGUGUGCAAUGUUGGAUCUCGUCAAUCUUGGCGAGAUUUUUAUACAUCAACACAUUUUUUAACUAAUUUGUCUGAAAAAUAUUAUGAAUACUUAAUUCAAAAUACAACUUUCAACAACGGAUCUCUUGGCUCUC
rnacentral:misc_RNA from 1 species